UCUCACAUUUAGAUGUGGAAAUUAAAAACAACUGAGAAUUUAAGAGAAAUCUUUGCUUUCUAAAGAAGGAUGUGGUAACAGCAAAAGAUAAUUUUUUUAGUAUAAAGAAGUUUAAAGACUAAUUUGAUACUUUAGAGAACAAUCUUGUUAUGCCUCGUUGGAUCAUGUGGCUCCUGCUGCUGCCUGGAUAAUCAUGGUGUCUGGUAAUCAAGUUGCAGAAGUAGCAACACUUCAGUGAGACUUUCUUUCAGUCUGAGAGAUCAUUGUAACGGUAGAAAAAUUAUUAGCUGAUUUAGAGGAAAAGAAACUCAAAUUUCUAAGUGUAAAAACUGUGACUCUUAUGUGGUAUUUACCGACUCCACGGUUAUGAUCAUUUUUAUCUCUUUUCGUGUCUCUCUUCUCCUUUUGUACCAUUUUGUGCUCUACUUUUUCUAGGUUGGAUCUUAUGCAGGAACGAGACAAAGUGCUUCUCCUAAAGCUGCAAAACGCAGUCUGCAUCUGUGAGGAAGCACGUGACCAUUUUUUGAUCUCCUAAGUAAUACUCAUGAAAGAGUUUGUCUAAACAUAUGUGUGUUGAGUAUCAUAUUUAUUGCUUUUAAUGUUCAUGAGAAAACCUAAACAACAUAAUCUAAAAUUGAAUGCUGACUUGGAAAGUUAGAAUAAUGUUUUAUUUCACAUAUUAUCUGAUGAUCUACGUAUGUGAGUUGCUCGAUCUAUGGUAAGGGUUUAUAUUCUGUGAUUAUAUCAAUGUGUUUGAUAAAAUUACAGAAGAGACUGUUAUGAAGACACAUUUAUCAUAUUUAUUAGAUUAUAUGAUGUUCUUGGGUUUUACAUUGUACUGUUUCACUCUGGUAUUGGUUCCGUUGUAAUCGAUUUAUGUAUAUAUUAUCUGAUGCGUUUUCUUGCCCAAGUUUCAAAAUUUCAAGUAUGGUAAUUACAAAGAUAAGCCACUCAGGAUUUGUGUCAUGUUUUGUAACCUCUAUUGUAUCAAUUUUUGAAACAGCGGUGCGAAAUGGACACCAUUGCACCGCACAUCUUCACCAACGAAACAAAUCAACCAAUCCCCUAUCUUUUCAUUUCGGAUCAUUUCAGACGCAUGUUACGUAAUUUUGACACGUGUUUUCUACUAUCUCAUUCUAUCUUAACAGCACCUAUUCUGUCAGCUUUCGUUUUUCUACGUGAUAACAAUUCCAAGGUUUUUCGUGCAUUAUGGUUCCAUUGAAGAACUAUAAUGCUGGAAACGAAAUCUGAGGCCACGUUACUCGUGUUGAAUGUGCUCUCUGAUGUUUCUUGGCUGGCAAAGUUGAAGGAGAUAUUGUGCUAGAUGCAGAGUACCACUGUCACGCUGUGAUUUUGAAUCUUAGCUCGUGCCUCUUGCGUGUUUCGAAGAAGCCAGCUGCAAAGAAGCUUCUGCGUCGAGUUGAAUUGACCAUCUCAGAGCUUAAAUUUAGAAUCUGGAAGGAGGAUGACAGUGUUAUAGCUCUAUCACCAGAUAAUGGCAAUGAUGUGAUGGACCUUGUAAUUUUCUGUCCCUUUCAUUGAAACUUGAGGCCGAGAUAGAUGAGGUUCUGCAGAAUUUUAGAAAGUACCAGGAGCUUGAAUAUAUGGGGCUGAAGAAAGACUUCAAGCACAAAAAAACCUAUCUUCAAAAUAUAUAUCUGGAAUAUGAAAAAAAUGUAUUGGCUGCCUCAAAGGUCUCAUCAAGUGCAGUAAGAGAAAGAAAGAUAGGUUUUCUGUGGUUGAAGUUUUUCUUCAGCCACCUUAUAUUAAAACGGGAGCGGGAUAAAUUUGAAAUGAUGAAGAAGGUAGCCAAUGGUUUUAGCAGGACGCUCCCACAAUAUUAUCAAGAAACACUUUUUGCUUUAAAGUGAUAGAUUAUUAAAUUGCAAAUCUUCUGUGACUAUUUGAAUUUUCUCCAA